rnacentral:rRNA from 1 species
AACGAACGCUGGCGGCAGGCUUAACACAUGCAAGUCGAGCGCCCAGCAAGGGGAGCGGCAGACGGGUGAGUAACGCGUGGGAACGUACCUUUUGCUACGGAAUAACUCAGGGAAACUUGUGCUAAUACCGUAUGUGCCCUUCGGGGGAAAGAUUUAUCGGCAAAGGAUCGGCCCGCGUUGGAUUAGCUAGUUGGUGAGGUAAAGGCUCACCAAGGCGACGAUCCAUAGCUGGUCUGAGAGGAUGAUCAGCCACACUGGGACUGAGACACGGCCCAGACUCCUACGGGAGGCAGCAGUGGGGAAUAUUGGACAAUGGGCGCAAGCCUGAUCCAGCCAUGCCGCGUGAGUGAUGAAGGCCCUAGGGUUGUAAAGCUCUUUCACCGGUGAAGAUAAUGACGGUAACCGGAGAAGAAGCCCCGGCUAACUUCGUGCCAGCAGCCGCGGUAAUACGAAGGGGGCUAGCGUUGUUCGGAUUUACUGGGCGUAAAGCGCACGUAGGCGGACUUUUAAGUCAGGGGUGAAAUCCCGGGGCUCAACCCCGGAACUGCCUUUGAUACUGGAAGUCUUGAGUAUGGUAGAGGUGAGUGGAAUUCCGAGUGUAGAGGUGAAAUUCGUAGAUAUUCGGAGGAACACCAGUGGCGAAGGCGGCUCACUGGACCAUUACUGACGCUGAGGUGCGAAAGCGUGGGGAGCAAACA